UCGGGAAUAUUGCGCAAUGGAGGAAACUCUGACGCAGUGACGCCGCGUGCAGGAAGAAGGUUUUCGGAUUGUAAACUGCUUUAGACAGGGAAGAAAAAGGACAGUACCUGUAGAAUAAGCUCCGGCUAACUACGUGCCAGCAGCCGCGGUAAUACGUAGGGAGCAAGCGUUAUCCGGAUUUAUUGGGUGUAAAGGGUGCGUAGACGGGAAUACAAGUUAGUUGUGAAAUCCCUCGGCUUAACUGAGGAACUGCAACUAAAACUAUAUUUCUUGAGUGCUGGAGAGGAAAGUGGAAUUCCUAGUGUAGCGGUGAAAUGCGUAGAUAUUAGGAGGAACACCAGUGGCGAAGGCGACUUUCUGGACAGUAACUGACGUUGAGGCACGAAAGUGUGGGGAGCAAACAGGAUUAGAUACCCUGGUAGU
rnacentral:rRNA from 1 species